rnacentral:rRNA from 1 species
UACGGGGGGGGCAAGCGUUUGUUCGGAAUUACUGGGCGUAAAGGGCUCGUAGGCGGCCAACUAAGUCAGACGUGAAAUCCCUCGGCUUAACCGGGGAACUGCGUCUGAUACUGGAUGGCUAGAGUUUGGGAGAGGGAUGCGGAAUUCCAGGUGUAGCGGUGAAAUGCGUAGAUAUCUGGAGGAACACCGGUGGCGAAGGCGGCAAUCCUGGACCAACACGUGACGCUGAGGAGCGAAAGCCAGGGGAGCAAAGCGGG